rnacentral:rRNA from 1 species
CGGACGGGUGAGUAACACGUGGAUAACCUACCUAUAAGACUGGGAUAACUUCGGGAAACCGGAGCUAAUACCGGAUAAUAUAUUGAACCGCAUGGUUCAAUAGUGAAAGACGGUUUUGCUGUCACUUAUAGAUGGAUCCGCGCUGCAUUAGCUAGUUGGUAAGGUAACGGCUUACCAAGGCAACGAUGCGUAGCCGACCUGAGAGGGUGAUCGGCCACACUGGAACUGAGACACGGUCCAGACUCCUACGGGAGGCAGCAGAC